UACAGAGGUCUCAAGCGUUGUCCGGAUUUAUUGGGCGUAAAGAGCUCGUAGGCGGCUCAGUAAGUCGGGUGUGAAACCUCCAGGCUCAACCUGGAGACGCCACCCGAUACUGCUGUGGCUUGAGUCCGGUAGGGGAGCGUGGAAUUCCUGGUGUAGCGGUGAAAUGCGCAGAUAUCAGGAGGAACACCAGCGGCGAAGGCGGCGCUCUGGGCCGGAACUGACGCUGAGGAGCGAAAGCGUGGGUAGCAAACAGG
rnacentral:rRNA from 1 species